rnacentral:tRNA from 1 species
UGGAGUAUAGCCAAGUGGAAAGGCUGCGAUUUUUGGUAUCGCUACUCAAAGGUUCGAGUCCUUUUACUCCAU